GGUACCGUCAAAUACCCAUCCUAUUCGUAUAGGUAACUUUCGUCCCUACUUACAGGGGUUUACACUCCAUAAAGCUUCAUCCCCCACGCGGCGUUGCUGCGUCAGGCUUUCGCCCAUUGCGCAAUAUUCCUCA
rnacentral:rRNA from 1 species